GUGCUUGCUUCAGCAGCACAUAUACUAAAAUUGGAAUGAUACAGAGAAGAUUAGUUUGGCCCCUGCGUAAGGAUGACACAUAAAUUCGUGAAGCAUUCCAUAUUUUU
rnacentral:snRNA from 1 species